GGUAAUCGAAUGCGGCUUUAAAGAUAAUUAAAAUAUGAAACGGCAAAACUAACCGUGGGGAAUUUUAUCAUGAUUUAUUGUCAAACCGGUAAUCGUUCCAUCCCUAGUCGCUGGUUAGCCUCUGGUAUGUCUGUUUGCUUUCAUGUGUUUUUGAGGAGGUGUGGCUUUGGAGAGUGAUUUGCAGGAAGGGUGGAAUCUUAUGCUUUCAAAGCUAGCUUGCUAUUGCUAUUCUCUUCAAAAACACCUGCCCUACCUUUAAAGUCAUAAAAGUUCACCCAUAAAUUAACAUUGGGCCUUAAUGUACUAUUUACAUAACUAGCAGUAAAAUCUCAUGUUCUUACGUUGAUUUUGUCCUCUCUUCUUCAUCUCAGAUCCCGUCGGUCAGAUGGCAGGAGAUCAGUGGACUGCAGCAGGUUAAGAAGGAGAUUCUGGACAUGAUUCAGCUUCCUCUGGAGCAUCCAGAGCUGCUUUCGCAGGGACUGUGGCGCUCUGGACUGCUGAUUCUAUGGGCCGCCGGGCACCGGAAAAACCCUGCUGGCUAAAGCCGUCGCCACCGAGUGUACCAUGACCUUCCUCAGCGUGAAGGGCCCUGAACUCAUCAACAUGUACGUUGGUCAGAGUGAAGAGAACAGCUUUGUUACUGACAGUCUUCAUCCUAUCCAUUUAAUGUUAUUUAUUUUUUUUAUAGACAAAAUGAAAUGAUGCUCUAAAGAAGAAACCAAAACUGCCAGCAGGUGGUGGCAGCAAAUGUCUUUAUGAGUCAUUCAUUCAUUCAUUCAUUCAUUCAUUCCUUUGAAUUGUUCAAACGGCUGAUUCAUUCAGUAAUGAAGUAAAUGUCACUCUUUAUGAAUGGGCUUUAAAUCAUUGGUUCACACAAUUAAUUCAAAAUGAGGAUUCAUUUACAAACUAAACACCGCUAUUGCUCACAGGUGCACAACAGUUUUGCAUUGGCCUUAUAGGUAAUAUUUUCAAUAGCAAAACUGAGCAAAAACACAAUAUUGUGUUUAAAAUAUGUA
ensembl:lncRNA